rfam:Kibdelosporangium aridum strain DSM 43828 genome assembly, contig: LX79DRAFT_scaffold00019.19
AGCGGGAAGCUCGUUCCAAGAUGAGGUCUCCCACCCAUUUGAUGGGUUAAGGCUCCCAGCUAGACGACUGGGUUGAUAGGCCAGAGAUGGAAGCACGGUAACGUGUGGAGUUGACUGGUACUAAUAGGCCGAGGACUUGCUCAC